AUCAACCUCGAUGGUUCGGUCGUCUACUCCUACCACCACGACUCCCCGCAAAAGGUCAAUCUCUCUCUCUAUCUCUCAGCUGUGAGCUAGUUCCUAAUACUAUUCCUAUUAAGAAUCCAAUCCAUCCUGGGGAGAGCCACUGUAGGUACUACAACACACCUUCUUUAUGGAUAUUAACAUGCCUGUCUGAAAAACAUACAUAGUAGGUGACACUAGUAACUCAACAAACUUGACUUUGCACUUGUACGCACAGACAAAUGAAUCUGCGUCAUUCAUUGUUUGGCAUGUCAAAACUGAGACAUGCAGAUUCAUUUGCAAGCAUCACUGAUGUAGAUCAGUUCCUUCUCUGUUUGUUGGAAACUGAGCUUUCUUCUCUGUUUGGUUGGUGCAGUGAUGAGCGAGCAACUUUGGCAAGCACCAGACCAACUGGAAGGCAGGCCCCAUCAUAGCCAAGAGCAUGCCGAAGAAGGCGGCGGCGUAUGUAUGGUGCUUGCUUCUUCUAAGCUGUCGUCUUAUGUCAUGCUUGUAGUGUGUGGUGCCUGUAUAUAUAUGGUGAUGAUUUUAUUUGUUUCUUCCAUUUGGAUGCAACAGAUGUGGUCCAUGGAUGUUAGAAUGAGGAACUGUAUGAUAGUAGAUACGACAACACUGUAAUAGUAUAAUCAGGAAUAACGCCAUUUCCAUCACUAUUGUGUUUUCUUGAACUGUCUACAAAAAAAUGAAUUUGUCGAUUUUAUUUUUUU
rnacentral:lncRNA from 1 species